CCUACGUGAGGCAGCAGUGGGGAAUAUUGGACAAUGGGGGGAACCCUGAUCCAGCGACGCCGCGUGAGUGAAGAAGUAUUUCGGUAUGUAAAGCUCUAUCAGCAGGGAAGAAAAUGACGGUACCUGACUAAGAAGCCCCGGCUAACUACGUGCCAGCAGCCGCGGUAAUACGUAGGGGGCAAGCUUUAUCCGGAUUUACUGGGUGUAAAGGGAGCGUAGACGGUGCAGCAAGUCUGAUGUGAAAGGUCGGGGCCCAACGCCGGGACUGCAAUUGAAACUGUUGAACUGGAGUGCAGGAGGGGUAAGCGGAAUGCCUGGUGUAGCGGUGAAAUGCGUAGAUAUUAGGAGGAACACCAGUGGCGAAGGCGGCUUACUGGACUGUAAUUGACGUUGAGGCUCGAAAGCGUGGGGAGCAAACAGGAUUAGAUACCCGGGUAGUC
rnacentral:rRNA from 1 species